GAUGAACGCUGGCGGCGUGCCUAAUACAUGCAAGUCGAGCGAACAGACGAGGAGCUUGCUCCUCUGACGUUAGCGGCGGACGGGUGAGUAACACGUGGAUAACCUACCUAUAAGACUGGGAUAACUUCGGGAAACCGGAGCUAAUACCGGAUAAUAUAUUGAACCGCAUUGUUCAAUAGUGAAAGACGGUUUUGCUGUCACUUAUAGAUGGAUCCGCGCCGCAUUAGCUAGUUGGUAAGGUAACGGCUUACCAAGGCAACGAUGCGUAGCCGACCUGAGAGGGUGGGAGGAAACAGUGGAAAAGAGACAGGGGCGAGAGGACGACGGAAGGAGCAAGGAGGGGAGGGUAAGAAAUGGGUGGAAUAAUGAAGUAGGAAUGACGCGGGAGGAAUGAAGGGAAAAGGACCGGAAAACGGUGUGACGAGGGAAAAAAAAAAGGGCAAGGAAAGAGGCAGGUCGGGACGGGAGCUAAUAAGAAAGACACGGCUAACGAGGUG
rnacentral:rRNA from 1 species